rnacentral:ncRNA from 1 species
AAAGAUCAUACGGGCAUUAAACAAGUUUGACCCUUACAAAUAAAGAAUUAAAAGGGCAAAAAUAGACACGUACGGUAGGGGCAGAGGGAAUUUCCGGUGGAGCGGUGAAAUGCGUAGAGAUCGGAAAGAACACCAACGGCGAAAGCACUCUGCUGGGCCGACACUGACACUGAGAGACGAAAGCUAGGGGAGCGAAUGGGAUUAAUCAUUCCAUUGGGGAUGUUUUACUCUAUCAAAACGUCGGAUUUCUAAAUUCUCAUAAGGCCCCCCCGGAAUUCCUUCCAGGGC